UGGAGGGUGGUGGGCACACCCAAGAUUCUCUUCUCACUGUGCCAUCCUGGUUUGCUCUCCUUUCACAGCCUUUAAAUAUAACUUGCUGUGCCCACUUGAUACGUCAGCUUUACCCUGCCAGGCAGCCCACGCCCUGAGGGUAGGGGCCAGAGUGAAGGCCAUACCUAGCACACACAAGGCACCGAAUGGACUUUUGGUAAAUGAGCAUAAACUUGCAUGUCUUUGGCUUUCACGGAUCACACAUCUAGACUACAAGCUCCACCGAAGGUGGGGCUGUCUCUACCUGCUUCUGUAUCCUUAGACACCAUAGAAGACAUGGCUGUUGGGAGGUCUUCAGUGCAAAGCUACCGAACUAAUACAGGAUGCAAUGCGUUAGCAGUCCUCCAGCUUGGCGGUCCUCCAGCUGGUGCUCCUGCCAUCCUGCUCCAACAAGAGGACACAGUGAAUCAAUCAUUCCCAAGCUUCUCAGUACAGGAAAUGAGAAAGGCUUGUCUCCAGCACCUAACCUGGAAAGAUACAGAGCUUUCACUUCUGUUAUGUUAAACCCAGAAGAUUUAAGCUACGAGGGCAGUAACACAAAGUGGGCUGCACCUUCCGCUUUACCGACUUGUAUCUAUUUGUAUCUACUUAUGCACUUGUGUCUAUUUGUAUCUAUUUGUGUCUUUUAACUGGUUUUGUUUAACUUUCGGACUUUUUAACGCUACCCAGUGACCAGGAAAUUUUAAGUCUCCUGGGCAAUUAAACAUUCUGGACUUUUUCCCUUUUCAAUUUCCCUACAAUUACAAAAAGUAAAACGAUAGGAUGUGCACCUCCCAACUGGUGCAGCUGUACCAGUGCUCACUCUGCAUGUCUGUGAGGCACGCACGCAGCCUUAGGGGUCAGAGAAGCUUCUUGGUGCAGUGGGAAGGCCAGUGCGGAUUCAUCCAAGUGCCACGAAGGAGUGGCCGAGUGCUCAGCCUCAGAUGGAAUCUCUAAAUCAGUGUGUGCUCCCACCCCUGGCCCAGGGAGCAUCAAGGAAGAAGGGAUGGAAAGAAUGUAGCCUGGGGUGGAGAAGUGGGGAAUGUUGUAAACGACCCAGCCAUCACAGGCAUGAACGGACAGGUAUGGCUACCUGUUACAAGCAUGAACCCAUGGGUAUGGUUACCUGCAUACCCACGGGUAUGGUUACCUGCAUAAGACCUGUUAAGGAUCAAGGCAACCAAAAGUCUAGCAUGGAUGAGGAAGGGCUCACAAGGCCCAAGUGUGAAGAGGGAAGGCUCCUUUUUCCUCAAGGAUGUGGUGACUGAUAGCUCACCCAAUCCCUCUAUCUAUUCAGUCAGCACUAAUUGGCCUCAGUGGUUGGUUAAUGAGGGCUGGGGAGGACCGUAUAGAAAGGGAACAUUGAAGGGAAGUGUUGGGUGUUUUCAGGGGAAGUUGGAAAGGUAAGCAUGAGGCAUGAUCAAGAUAUGUUUUGUAUGCAUGUAUGAUCUCAUUUCUGACAUAUUUCAGAAUAAAGGCCAUCAAAGAAUCUCCCAUAA